UUAGUUUCUAAGGUGCCACAAGUACUCCUGUUCUUCUUUUUGCGGAUACAGACUAACACGGCUGCUACUCUGAAACCUGUCUUUGUUUCAAGUUACCAGGUGUGGUGAGAGUUGCGAUGCGGUUGCCCGCCAUUGCUACACGUGGCCAGCAGGGGGAGACCACCCCCUAGCUCCAGUGCUCGGAGAGUUGGUUCAACUUGUCUCCUGGCUACUGGGGCUUCAGUGAAACCAGAAGCUCAUGACACAACGGACAGGACCUCGGGCUGCAUCAGACUGGGGAGGGCUAGCACCGAGGAGCUCAGGCCACGCUUCUCUGCCAAAGGAGCUCCAGCAUUUGCCCCUGGCAUGUAACAAAGGGAUCCCAGCGCUUCAAACUGUGCCAGUCCAAACCCACCUGUAUGGGGCUCCAGCUUGGACGUAGCUGAAAGCCAUGGUGAGGACUAACUUCCAGGCCAUGGCAAAGGCUAGCGUCCUGAGCCAGCCCACCCCCAGGACGAGGGUUUGGGAGAUCCUUAACAAAACACAGGGAGAGACAUUACCAAGAGGGACCAGGAGGACACAGAGGAUCACCUGUCGGCCCAUCCCACUUGAGGAUCCUGGCAGGCCGUGGUCUAAUAUGGCUUCUAAGUUUGCUUUGACAGUAAAAUGCAUCAGCACGGGACAGGACGCCAAAGCCACAAUGUUGCCGCUACCUGGACAUGGCAUAAAUUCAACAAGAUACAGUUUUGCACGUAUAGAUUACAAGACACACAUGAAAUUAUCCCCCGUACUGGCUUGUUAUUUACCCCUCAACUAUUUGUGAAUGGAUCAGGCAUGCUUUGUUCCUUAUCAUUUUUAAUUGUUUUUUUUUAAUUGAAAAUAAAUGGAUAUUGUUGAGCCUACUGACUUGGGCAAUAAAGGUUGUUUUUUUAAUAGGUCUUGCUCUGUCCUCUUGGGUAAAAUAAAUCCACUCACGCAUUUUAAAAAUAACUCUGCAGCCUGGGUGUAUCCUGCCCAAUGGCUGAGGUGUAACAAAGUGUAUGGAGUCUGCGCUAACCAUGCUGCUAUUUACAUAGUGGUUAUCUGUCAUGCAUUGUCACCAAGGUUGGCUGUUCGUAGCUAGCUAUAUAGAUAUGUAACUACAUAUACAAGAAGGGAUUUUGGAUGAGGCUCAGAUGGCUUGAGUAUGUUGGGGUGGGGGAGCUUUUUCCCUUUAAAAAAAAAAAAGUAUUAAGUCACGGUUCCCACCGUCUCCUCCUCCCCCUCUUUUAAACAGUCCAAGUUAAAAAUGUGCCAAAUUCAAUAGCGCAGGACUCGAUUUGGGGGGAGGGUGGGGUGCAUUGUCCAUUGCAGAGGAGUUGACGCCUGAUAGAGGCCAGUGGAAAAGGGAGCAAAAUGGGAGGGAGAGAGGGUUGGUAGUGUCCCGUCCCCCCCGGUGCCCCACCCACCAGUUGUGCCCUACACCAGUCCUAAGCCGGGUAUGUUGAACGCGCAUUCUGCUCACCCAGUUAUUCUUUCCUGCUCCCCCCAGUCCCAUAUAUGAUUGUUUUUUAACACUCUUAGUAUUCUCUGUAAUAAUAAACUGAACACUAGGCCAGGCGGUGGUGGGCCACGGCAUUAGAGGCUGAUUUAAGGACCCCAACAAUAGAAGUAAGUAGGAUGGGGCAACAGGCCAAGGCCUGGUGUGAAAGCAGAGCCCGUUGGGUUUAUUCGUCUGCUUGUGUCACAAUCACAAAGCUCUGGUGUGUUUGUCACCUUGGUUCAGAAAACUCCCAUUAACCUUUCACUUUCUUGGACCAGCUUUGCUUAUGGACUGGAGGAGGUGGUAGAUCUGUGUCUAGCGCAGGCAGACGCCCCCACGUCUCAGAAAAGGGCACACUCCUUAGAUCAUGCUUGUAACCUGCUGAGGGCUGCUUUGCUCUUUCCCGUCCCUCAAAGGUAGCAGGAGCUCUGAGGCAGCCGGGUGCAGGGCUUAGACACUCUGCUGUGGGGAAUCGCUGCCUCUGCUCCUUAGACCUCCUAGCCUUCGCCGUUGUGCAGCAAGGAUGUACGAUCAGCAAUGAGGCUGGCUUGUGUUUAAAGCUCCUGUACGGAGGGCUCCCUCCUACAACGGUCCCCAAGCACCCUCAGCAGCCUCCUGGCUCUUAGAACUGGGACCAAACUUACUCUUCCCUAGUUACAGGUAGUAGGACUGCCCCACUGCCAGGCUCAUGGGUGCACGGAGCUCUCCUGCUGAUUAAAUAUUGAAGCUCCAGCAGGACUUAAAAGGUAAGGGGUUGGGUGUGUGUGUGGAGUGU